UCACCCAGCAAAAUGGGAGCAGCCUUGCAGAGAGAGUGGGGCUCCUUUCAGAGGCACCUGGGCGAUCAGCUCACUCCUGUUGAUGGCAGCUAGGAAAAGAGGCCAGUGCCUCUGCCUGGAAGUCCCAGGCAGCCUGGAUUCCACACCACAGUAGUAGCACUGCCACUUACUAAUACUCCCUUGGCCUCAAUUUCCUGGUCUAUGAAAUGGAGAAAACAACAGUAAUAGCUAAUUGAAUUCAACCUGGACGCCUCCCAAAUGCUGUGGUCUGCUCCGUGCUGCUCUGCUGGGCCAUCACCCUGUGAGUUCUGACGGGCGAGGUCUUCUCUCAGGAGUGGACCUGGUGAGCACACCUGUGAAUCUGGAAAGGACUAAAGAGCUGCAUGGCUGGGUAUUAACCUAGCUGCUGGCUACUGUUCUUAAACUCCAUCAACUUGAUCACAGGCCAAACUACAAUACAAAAAA
rnacentral:lncRNA from 13 species